AUGUUCUUACCAAAGUCCAAAGGUGCCAUUGGCUUCAGGGAUAUGAGAGCAUAUAACCAAGCCUAGCUUGCUAAGCGGGCCUGGAGACUUUUAGUGGAACCUGAAUCUUUGUGCGCGAGAUUGCUCCGAGCCAAAUAUUAUCCAAGUGGGAUCUUGGUACACACGGUACUUUCGAGUAAUUCAUCGGCGGUUUGGAAAGGCAUCGAACAUGGGUUGGAAUUAGUGAAAAGAGGAAUGUUAUGGUGA
rnacentral:rRNA from 1 species